rnacentral:lncRNA from 1 species
GCAUUAAAAGAAAGGACAGAGGGGAAGGAGAAAAGAUGGUGGGGUCCUAUGGUUGGGGUAGUGGAGGCACAAUCAAGGUGGUUGCAGCUUGAGGUGAUAGUCUAGCCAAAAGCAGAAAAGGGUAAAGGAAAGGGGCAUCACCCCUUGCUACCUUACUAGCACCUCCCUCGAUCGAGGAAGAAGCAAAGGGAGGGCGUCUCAUGG